rnacentral:tRNA from 9 species
GCUGCUAUAGCUCAGUUGGUAGAGCGCAUCCUUGGUAAGGAUGAGGUCAGCAGUUCAAAUCUGCUUAGCAGCUCCA